UUUUUGUGGAAACUGUGAGCUUUCCCUAUUCCAUCGUCUUUCCCAGAAUGGAUGCAAGGCUAACCGGCCUGCAGUUCCCCAUAUCCCCUCUGCUACCCUUUUUGAAGACUGGAACCACUGAUGCCACCCUCCAGUCCUCUGGAACAUC